GUUUGGGCUUAACUUUGGUCCUCAACAUACAAACAGCUCAUUGUUCAACCCAAAAGAUGCAACUGAAGUAAUUGCUUGCAUCCUGUACGUGUUGAGCAAGCCGUUUUCAAGUUUGGGCAGAGCUGAAAAAAUUAUAACACCUAGACAACUUGACAACUAGUAACCGGAAAGUUGCAAGAUCGAAUCCCCGAGUCGACAAGGAUGCCGCCUUGUUCUUCAUUCUUCAAAUAGUUCAAGCCCUCCGCUAUGACAAGGCCCAUCCCUAAGGGAGACGAGAGGAAGAGAGCCUGUCUGAGGGCUCUGUCGGACAUCCAGGUCCAGCCAGGCUGUUACCUACCUGAUGACCCAGAGGCCAUAGUGCUGGACAUAAACUACGCGUCUGGGACUCCAAUGCAGAGGUCUGCAGUGUAGGUCAGACUCCCUGGACAGUGAGGAUGAGGUCUAGAGGAACUUUAAAGUGGGUAAGGACUGCAGACAGGUCUCUCUACAGACACACACUCUGUCGUUCGAUCUAUAUCAGAAUCUGUGUUCAUCUUCUCUUGAUGUCUUUCUCUCUCUCCCAUUGUCUUCAGUCUACAAUCUGUAUCUUUCACACUAUCGCUGUUUCUUCUGUCCUCCUGUUUGCUCUUUCUGCCUCUCUCUCGACAGUAGCCCCCCUUCUAGGAGCGGCUCCAGCCGCGGAGCCAGGGCGUCCACCAUGUAGUUGGUUGAAGUCCCGAGCAAGUUCCGUAUCCAGAAUGUCUCGAGCAGGCACCCAUGUCCGCUCCUUGGGGCUGUAGCCCUCCCAGUCCACCGGGAACUGCAGGGUUCCUUGGACCCGACGAGCCUCCAACAGAUGCCGGACAGUGUAGGCUGGGCGACCAUCAACAGUCUGGGGCAGGUAUGGGGGAAAGAACUGGUCCUUUACAGCUUGAGACAGGAGACAUUGAAGGAUGGACAGACCUUCAUAGACCUGGGAAGCUGGAAACUAAAGAUGACCGGGGUUGAUGCGUCUCAGGAUCUUGAAUGGUCCUAUGUACAGUGGUUCUUCCUUUUAAAAGUUGCAUCAUAUUGCAGCACAGCUUGCGGGCUGCUGCAGAAUUCUAUGGCAUGCUGUUUAAACUAUGCCACUUGGUUUACAUACCCUACAUUACUCAUCUCAUAUGUAUAUACUGUACCCGAUACCAUCUACUGCAUCUUGCCUAUGCCAGUCUGUA